AGCUUGGAUGUCCUCUACAAGGCUUACAAAAUGUUUUUUUUUUCUUAAACAGAACUCCACCCAAUGAAAUGGCAGCCUUUCCAGCAGGCAGAAUCCCAGAGCACAGCCAAAUAAAAGGUCAUUCAUCUACAGUUGGCUGUAUCCCUCCUAGCACAGCUGGAGUGGAGCUGAAGCAAACCGAGUUACUGAGUUACUGCUGACUGGAUUCGUGCUCAGAAGGUUUUAGCAUGAGGAAGCAGGCCAAAGAAGUCACACCAAAACAAACGAAGAACAAACAUUUAAUCCCGGACAAACAUCAUGACCAAUUUUUCGUUUCUACAUUGCAGUCACUUCCAGAAUUAUUGGCACCCUUCUUUUCCUGCAAAACACUCAUUUCAGAAUGAUCGGCAGCCUUCUGAUGAAGAUUUGGAAAUGAAGCCUCCUCUAGAGAGAAGAAUAACUGAAUCUUUUCAUGUCAUGUCUUAAAACUUAAAAGAUCUUCCUCCAUGCAGAAUAUUUCAAGCUGCUUUGC